rnacentral:rRNA from 1 species
GUGGGGAAUAUUGCACAAUGGGCGCAAGCCUGAUGCAGCAACGCCGCGUGAGGGAUGACGGCCUUCGGGUUGUAAACCUCUUUUAGUUGGGAAGAAGCCUUCGGGUGACGGUACCUUCAGAAAAAGCGCCGGCUAACUACGUGCCAGCAGCCGCGGUAAUACGUAGGGCGCAAGCGUUAUCCGGAAUUAUUGGGCGUAAAGAGCUCGUAGGCGGUUUGUCGCGUCUGCUGUGAAAACUGGAGGCUCAACCUCCAGCCUGCAGUGGGUACGGGCAGACUAGAGUGCGGUAGGGGAGAUUGGAAUUCCUGGUGUAGCGGUGGAAUGCGCAGAUAUCAGGAGGAACACCGAUGGCGAAGGCAGAUCUCUGGGCCGUAACUGACGCUGAGGAGCGAAAGAGUGGGGAGCAAACAGGCUUAGAAACCCUGGUAGUCC